rnacentral:lncRNA from 1 species
UUUGAAUUACAUUUGUGUUCUUAGUUGAACAUGUUGGUUCUAAUGUUAUUUUUUUUCAGAUUAUUUCACAAGAGAUGACGUAACUAUUAUUAAAUUUUGCUUGCGUUUUGUGUAAUCGGAAGUUAGGCUAUGCGUAUUUUGUGUCAAUUUGGGCAAUGUUUUGUGUAAGUGGAAUGCAUUGAUAUGUUGUGAUGCAGUAAUGACUGAUUAAUGAAUUAAUAUUUGCUAUGCAGUAAUAUAGAAGUGGAU